CCCCCCAGCCCCGAAGGCUUCUGGCGACACCGCUGCAGUGGUCCUCAGUAGCUGAUGUCAUAAGAUCAUGAGCUUCAUCAUCACUGUCAUUGAUGUCUGAUGGCUUUUUUUGAUAAUAACAUGACCCACCUGCCGGUGUAAUGAGGUGUGGCCCCCAGUGUCACCCACCCAGUGUCACCCACCCAGUGGCUUUGAGACGCAGGUUUUGAAUCCCACACUUUGCGAUUCUUUAGCAUUCAGCUGGUUUUGCGUUGCUUCAACGCUGCAUUAAAAUCAGUCCGAACGAAGAGAUUUCCUGAAGGUUCUAGGUUAAAGUGAGGUUGAGCUGGAGUCCCCACAAUGAGAAGGGCCAUUGUCUCCCUGCCGGUUUAACGAAGAUGGAUUUCGUGAUUAAGCGGCCGGCGCAAUAAAGACAGCGGGGAUGACCUUCUGUGCCCCAGCGGCUGAAUGAAAACAAUUAUCGAGCUAAAAAGCUCGAGUCAAGCAGUCUGACGUUACCUUUGUGAUUCUGCAUCAUCUCUGUGCAUCUAUUUCAGAAAGUUAGUUCUCCAUCUGCCGCCUUUACCUGUCUGCCUUCCCAGUGACCUGCACACUGGGAGAUGCGGGCGGAUAAAGAAGAAUGAACAAAUCUAUGAGGAACAGAUCUUUUGGCCCCGUUACCCAGAGUCCCCUGGGAUUUCAUUCAGCAGAAACCUUUGCUCAAGAAUCUGGUUCCUAACAUGUGUCACCUUGCUACCCUCAUUUUUUAGAAUUUAUUGAGUGUAUAGUACCAUUCAUAUAAUAAUGUUAUUUAGCUACAGGACCUUUAAUAGACUUAAAUAUCAGUCAUUAUUUGUCAUUUCCUUGGACAUUUUCCACUGUAAUUAUGCUCCUUAAUGAAUGGUAUGGCCAUAGAAACUCUCUUUCAGCACCAAUUCCCUCAGCGGCCAGAUGGAAGGUUUCUCUGAGUUGGAUUAUUACUACAUGUAUAUAGUCAACAAUGACUGCUGGCUCACUGCUGAUAGACUGUAACAGUACCUUUAAUUUUCCGUAAUGACGAGGUCCAAAUUAAAGCGGCGGUCCCCAGCCACCGCUGCCUCAGUGUUUUGUAAACAGACGCACAAAGGCCAUUCGCUGGUGUUCUGGGAACCAGCCAUGAGACGUUAGGUUUCUCUGGUUUCUGUGAUGACGGCAGGUGGGUCGUAGCGGACAGGUCAAGGCCCGGCACCCCCCUUCCAGCCCAGACAUAAUGGAAGCCAGAACUUGGACAGUGAGGGUGGGAGGGAAAACCCCUCCCAGGACCAGGACCUUAUGUCUGAAAGAGCCCUACGGUGGCCCUUUGGUUAAAAGGGUGGGUUAGUACCAUCCUGGGGGUGUCCUACUGGUAUUGUGCUGCAAAGGACUCAAAUUAA